CAACAAACUCUAAGGCCAGUGCAGUGGCACAUGCCUGUAAUCCCAACUAUUUGGGAUGCUGAGGCAGGAGGAUCGCUUGAGCCCAGGAGUUCAAGAGUAAUUUUAUGCUGAUUGAAGAAAAGAAGUAAACAGAGUUCCAGAAAGCAACUGCAAAUACUCAUUUUGAAAAAGAAAACAAAACAAAAACAAGGGAGACAUUUUAAAAGGUAU
rnacentral:lncRNA from 1 species